rnacentral:rRNA from 1 species
UACAGAGGUGGCAAGCGUUGUUCGGAAUUACUGGGCGUAAAGGGCGCGUAGGCGGCCUUCUAAGUCAGACGUGAAAUCCCCCGGCUUAACCUGGGAACUGCGUCUGAUACUGGGAGGCUUGAGUAUGGGAGAGGGAUGUAGAAUUCCAGGUGUAGCGGUGAAAUGCGUAGAUAUCUGGAGGAAUACCGGUGGCGAAGGCGGCAUCCUGGACCAUUACUGGCGCUGAGGCGCGAAAGCUAGGGGAGCAAACGGG